rnacentral:rRNA from 1 species
CCUACGAGUGACAGCAGUGGGGAAUAUUGCGCAAUGGGCGCAAGCCUGAUGCAGCCAUGCCGCGUGACGGAUGAAGGUCUUCUGAUUUGACAGCUCUUUCAGCAGGGAAGCAAGGUGUCUAUUCUAUUCAGCUUUUCAUUGACGUUACCUACAAGAGCAGCACCGGCUAACUCCGUGCCAGCAGCCGCGGUAAUACGGAGGGUGCUCGCGUUAAUCGUAAUUACUGGGCGUAAAGCUCUCGUAGGCGGUAGGCAAAGUCAAUUGUGAAAGCCCUGAGCUCAAGGUGGGAACUGCCGUUGAGACGGGCAAACUGGAGUGGGAGAGAGGAGAGUGGAAUUCAAGGUGUAGGAGUGAAAUACGUAGAUAUCGGGAGGAACAUCAGUGGCGAAGGCGACUAGGUGGCACAUAACUGACGCUGAGGAGCGAAAGCGUGGGUAGCAAACAGGAUUAGAUACCCUGGUAGUC